rnacentral:rRNA from 1 species
AUUAAACGCUGGCGGCAUGCCUUACACAUGCAAGUCGAACGGCAGCACGGGUGCUUGCACCUGGUGGCGAGUGGCGAACGGGUGAGUAAUACGUCGGAACGUACCUUAUCGUGGGGGAUAACGCAGCGAAAGCUGUGCUAAUACCGCAUACGCCCUGAGGGGGAAAGCGGGGGAUCGCAAGAGCUCGCGCGAUUAGAGCGGCCGAUGCCUGAUUAGCUUGUUGGGGGGGUAGAAGCCCACCAAGGCGACGAUCAGUAGCUGGUCUGAGAGGACGAUCAGCCACACUGGGACUGAGACACGGCCCAGACUCCUACGGGAGGCAGCAGUGGGGAAUUUUGGACAAUGGGGGCAACCCUGAUCCAGCAAUGCCGCGUGAGUGAAGAAGGCCUUCGGGUUGUAAAGCUCUUUUGUCAGGGAAGAAACACCGGCUCUAACACAGUCCGGGAAUGACGGUACCUGAAGAAUAAGCACCGGCUAACUACGUGCCAGCCGCCGCGGUAA